GACGAACGCUGGCGGCGUGCUUAACACAUGCAAGUCGAACGGAAAGGCCCUGCUUUUGUGGGGUGCUCGAGUGGCGAACGGGUGAGUAACACGUGAGUAACCUGCCCUUGACUUUGGGAUAACUUCAGGAAACUGGGGCUAAUACCGGAUAGGAACUCCUGCUGCAUGGUGGGGGUUGGAAAGUUUCGGCGGUUGGGGAUGGGCUCGCGGCUUAUCAGCUUGUUGGUGGGGUAGUGGCUUACCAAGGCUUUGACGGGUAGCCGGCCUGAGAGGGUGACCGGCCACAUUGGGACUGAGAUACGGCCCAGACUCCUACGGGAGGCAGCAGUGGGGAAUAUUGCACAAUGGGCGGAAGCCUGAUGCAGCAACGCCGCGUGCGGGAUGACGGCCUUCGGGUUGUAAACCGCUUUCGCCUGUGACGAAGCGUGAGUGACGGUAAUGGGUAAAGAAGCACCGGCUAACUACGUG
rnacentral:rRNA from 1 species